CCUACGGGAGGCAGCAGUGAGGAAUAUUGGUCAAUGGCCGUAAGGCUGAACCAGCCAAGUAGCGUGAGGGAAGACUGCCCUAUGGGUUGUAAACCUCUUUUAUGCGGGGAUCAAGGUGUCCACGUGUGGAUGUUUGCAGGUACCGCAUGAAUAAGGACCGGCUAAUUCCGUGCUAGCAGCCGCGGUAAUACGGAAGGUCCGGGCGUUAUCCGGAUUUAUUGGGUUUAAAGGGAGCGUAGGCCGGUCUUUAAGCGUGCCGGGAAAUUUUGUGGCUCAACCAUGAGAGUGCGGCGCGAACUGGAGACCUUGAGUGCGCGGAAGGCAGGCGGAAUUCGUGGUGUAGCGGUGAAAUGCUGAGAUAUCACGAAGAACCCCGAUUGCGAAGGCAGCCUGCCGCAGCGUUACUGACGCGGAAGCUCGAAAGCGCGGGUAUCGAACAGGAGUAGAUACCCGGGUAGUC
rnacentral:rRNA from 1 species